UGAAGUAUAAAUAUGUGAAGUAUGAGGAUGUGAUUAUUGUUCAGAGCGGAUUCACUGUGUGACAUCAUCAGGGUCAGGAUGGAAACUUGUUUUUGGAAAAGGAACCAAACUGAUGGUGAAGAGCAGAGACGAUUACGAGCCGUCCUACUAUGAACUGGAAGACGAGAACCAAACCAUCAGGGCGUGUCUGGCCACUGGUUUCAGCAGGAACAACGCAACCCUCCUGCAUGACCUGUUUAAAAACUCACACAAAGCCCAAAGUGGAGCCGUCGACUCCCUGCACAGUAAAGUGGUUCUGAUGUCAGAGGGUUCUGGAGGAAAGUGUGAGAACGGGACACACCAAAAUGAACCUGAUGUUUGUGCCGAUACUUUGGACAAAGAUGUGACGGUGAACACGGUGUCUCUGCUCGUCGUGGCGCUGCGACUCCUCUUCCUCAAGACCGUCGUCUUCAACGUGCUGAUGACGCUGCGACUGUGGCUCAGUCACUGAGUCGGACACAUCGACAUAAUCUGUAAAUUCAAUCAUAUUUUAGUUUUUUAACUUUUAUUUUGAUAAUCAUUUUCAAGCACAAAGAGAAAUCCUGCUUCAGUCAGUUUUCUCUUUUUCUCUUUCAGUAAAUUUCUGUUUUGUUUCUUUGAAAGUGAAACUUUCUCUCGUCUUCUGGUUUUUUAUUCGCCAACAAAUUAAGACAAAUCAAACGUCAAUAAUUUUCAAUACUUCCUGCACAGUUUUUCAGAUUAAAAGCCUUCUAGAAGCAUUAAAGGCACUUUUCUCUUUGGCUUUUAAUGUGAAACACCUGCAGGCCGUGUUAGAUUUCUCUGAGAGUAGCGUGUUUUUAACAUGUUCAUAUUCAGGCUGAUGUUCGUAAUGUUCUUCUGGUUUUAUCUUGAAAGGUUCCUCUGAAUAAAUCUGUUUUAUUAAUA